GAAUCAGCGACUGCUGCGAAAUUCCGGCAAUGGGAAGAAAAUGCUCUGAGAUCAGGAGAAGGAUUUACGGUGAAAUUCAACAAAGUGAAUGAGGAAAAAGUACACUCAGCCCCGGUCAAGUUUUCCUUUGUGCAAGUGCCACUACAAUUUACCACCAAUCACCAAGCUAGCCAGGGAAAUAAGAUGAGAACGUCUCACGAAUCAACGUUUGUUCCGAAAUUCGGGCAAUGAGAUGAAAAUGCUCUGGGAUCAGGCGAAAUAUUUACGGGGAAAUUCAAGAGAGUGGAGGAGGAAAAAUUACACACAGCCCCAGUCAAGUUUCCCUUUGUGCAAGUGCUACUACAAUCUACCACCAAUCACCAAGCUAGCCAGGGAAAGAAGACGAGAAGGAAAUGUUUGCUGGCUGUUUUGAGAAGCAAAUGUUGGUGUUGUAAUGCAACAAAUGUUGAGGGAAAGUUUCAAAUUUGAGGGACUAUUGCAGAAACGGUUCAAAUUUGAAAUUUUCUUUUAGAAACUGUAUUUGAUCAAAGUCCAAUUUA